CCGAAGCCGAACCCUAGCGCCAACUGCCCCGGCCCCCGGUCGGGGGGGAAGCCCGCCGCGCUGGCCGACAUCACCAACACCGGGAGGCCCGGCCCUCCCAGGCACACCAUGGCCGACGUCCUCAAGGAGAACGCCAAGUUGGCUCAGCUGGUUGCCCAGAAAACCAAGAUCAUUGAGCUCAGCGGCAUUGAGAUUAACAAGCUCCGUGCUGCGCUGCAGAGCACGCAUCAGCAGAACCUGCACCUCGCGCAGGCUCAUUCUCAGAUCACCGCGGAACUAAAUCAGGCAAAAGAUCGAGUAAAGGUACUGCAGCAUGAGCUUUCAUGCGCAAUAGCAGUGCUUAAAGUAAAGGCUUCGGGAAUUGAGCGAAAGAGUACGACUGCUGAUAACCAACUGCAAACAGAAAUAACUUCACAGGAGUUAAAAGCCGCACCUUCCAAAUCUGCACCAGUCGAAGCUCAUCAAGCUGAUAAUAAGGGCACCAGUGCUAAUGUGCACCAUUCAGUCGAGACACAAUCCUCUGUGCCAUUUAAUACAGACCAACCAGAAGCACCGCCAGAUAAAACAAAUAAAAGAACAUCAGUGAAUACGCGCACAAGUAAGCGAAAGUCAGAGUCACGUGAAGGUAUAAAAGAGACCAACACAUGUCAACAGAGCCACAGACCUGAUGUGCAACCCACUGGAUCAUUGCAUCAUGAGGAUCAGAGAAACACAGUACGAAGAAAGUCUUCUAGACUAAACCCAGGGCCUUGUGAGAUGGCAGAAGCAUCUUGUGAGAUCUUGCCUACAGACACUGCAGUUCCUUCAUCUUGUAGUUUUAGUGUUCCAGAACUUGAUGAUCCAAAUAAUGGAGAAGACAUGCGGAAGGCAGCACAAGAUGAACUGUUAUGCAACACAGCAGUGCAUAUAAAGGCUUCAGUACUCAAGAAGGACGAGAUAAAUAAGCAUCUGCAGAAAGAAGCAAAUGUGCAGGAGGAGAUACAAGAAACACAUUCUGUGGUUCAUGGAAUUGAGGACCCUGAGGCACAUCAAAUUGACAGUCACACAAAGAAUACGAUCCCAAUCCACCUGGCAGAAACUCAACCAUCUCUGCCAUUUGACACUCAACAGCCAGAACCACCCAAAGAAAGAGCAAAAAAGAGGGGUGGACACAAACGGAAAUUGGAUUCAUGUGGAGGUCAAAAGGACUCAAACAUAGAGGACACUAAUUCCAAACUUGAUUCUAUUUGUAGUGAACCACCGUAUCAUGAAGAGACAAGAAAAUCUCCGAGAAGAAAAUCCUCAAGAAAGAACCCAGGAGAAUUUGCUGAGGCCACAAAGGAAAAUCUUGAGACCAAGCAAGAGGAAAUUAUUGCUCCUGUAGUCCCUUCCAGCUCAGAUGUCGUGAUGGAGCAGACCAAAGAAGAGAAGCAAAGCGACAGCCGUUCCUUGAUGGAACCUUCUGAAGGGCAGGCGGCGGGGAGGUCCUUGGUGCAGGUGACAGGUAGAAGGUCUUCGAUGCGGGCAGCAGCAAAGGCUGUAUGCUACAAGGAGAUACCCGUGAACGUGAAGAUGCGACGACCUUAG
rnacentral:rRNA from 1 species